CACUAGAUGGCAGGGAAGUGGCUGUGGUGCUGCGAUAGCAGAAGUUACCAGAAAUCUACCUUGUACGGUACUGGGGAAAGUCAUUUGUGGGGAGGUGUCUCAGAAGAGGCACUCUACUACAAACCACCUGAGGGGGUGCCAAGAGAAGUUUCUGGCUGUUAGCUACCAUAAACUGAAAAGGCCACGUGCUGAAGAAGCCCUGUACUUUGCUUGAGCCAAACACUGGAGAAGCCGCGCACAGCACAAAAGCCUGACUAACUGAAACACCAACAGGAAACAAAACCUUUUCCUCCUGCAAUAUCUCUCUGGUGCCCUCUACUGACACAUCUUAAUAUCUGCCAGCUGAUAAAGGAUCUAUUUAAAAGGGUGCAAAUCAUUUCACAGAGCAGGCAAAAAGGAUAAAUUUGGAACUGAAUGGCAUACUAGGGAAUCUUCUCAUUAUUUUCAAAGCUUAUAAAAAAGGUAAGUAAGCAAACAUCUAUCCUGCCUUUUCUAUACAAACGGUACUUCAUACAACAUACCAAAACUUACGACAUACUUGCAUUAAAAAAGAAGUGCCGGGACUCCCCGGCGCCGGAAUUUCCGGCUGGCGCCACCACUUUGGCUUCCCGACCUUGGGCUACUACUGCUGGUCACUGUCUGCAGCCUCUCCGUGCGGUCAUGUCUGUGCCUAUACCGCAGCUGCUGAGGGGCCUCACAGGCUUCACCCCGUGGCUCCCGGUGCAGCAUGCCCAGAUCCAUUCCAAGCCACCGCCAGAGGGGCUCGGGACCAUGGAUGACUCCAUUGGGCUCACCUCCUGCUUCCUGUUUCCUCCUGCCAUCAGGCUGGGUCCUGUCACAUCUGGAGUGCUACAAGAAACGGGAGUGAAGGGGGCUGUCCUGUCCCUCACCCUGUGACCUGACCACCCCUGGCCUCUCCUGAUCAUGUCUGCUGCAUUCCUGAAUGGCCUUCCCAGGAUCGUGUCCUUCAAUUACCUCUUCUGCAAUCAUGACCUCUCGAUUUCUCCUUGGUGACAUCCUCAGACCACAUAUAUUGGUGUAUAAGGCCCUACUCGGUAAGGCCCUCCUUAUAAAAAUAAAGUCUAUUUAAAUCUUUAAAAAAAAAAAAAAGUCCAGAGGUGCCUGGGUGGCUCAGUCGCUUAAGCGUCCAGCUCUUGAUUUCAGCUCAGGUCAUGAUCUCAGGGUUGUGAGACUGAGCUGGGCAUCCGGUUCCACUCUCAGCAGGAAGUCUGCUUAAGAUUCCCUCUCCCUCUCCCUCUGCAUCCCCCCUCCAUAAUAAAUAAAUAGGUCUUUAAAAAAAUAAAAAUAAAAAUAAAUAAAAAGUCCAGACACUGUAAUAUUCGCUAAGAAGAAAUGAGCUGUCAAGCCAUGAAUAACACAUGGAGGAAACAUAAAUGCAUAUUACUAAAUGAAAGAAACCAAUCUGAAAAGGCUAUAUUAUAUAUGAUUCCAACUAUAUGACAUUCUGGAAAAGGCAAAACUAUGGUUAUGGUAAAAAGAUCAGUGGUUGCCAGGGCUCAGGGGGAAGGAAAGGAUGAAUGGGCAGAGCACAGAGGACUUUUAGGGCAGUGAAACUAUUCUUUAUGAUACAAUGAUGGUUACAUUAUCUAAAUCCAUAGAAAGUACACCAAAAGUAAACUCUAUGUAAACUAUGGACUUUGGGUGAUAAUAAGGUGUCAGUGUAGGCUCAUGGAUUGUAACAAAUGUACCACUGUGGUGUGGGAUGUCUAUAAUGGGGGAGGUUGUGCAUGUGUGGGGACAGGGCAUACAUGAGAAUUCUUCGUACUUUCUGCUCAAAUCUGUUGUGAUUCAAAACUGCUCUGAAAAAUAAAGUUUAUUAAUUAAAAAAAAGAUCUCAAAUCAACAGCUUAACCUUCUACCUUAAGAAACUAGAAAAAGAGCAAACUAAACUAAAACAAGUAGAAGGAAGGAAACAAUAAAGGUUAGAACAGAAAUAAAAAUAGAAAACAACAAAACAAAGUAGUUCACUAAAUAAAAAGAACAAAAUUGACUAACUUUUAGCUAGACUGACAAGAAAAAAAAAGAAAAACUCAAAUUAUUAAAAUUAGGAAUCAAAGAGGGGACAUUAUUAUUGACCUUAAAGAAAUAAGAAUUAUAAGGGAAUCCUAUGGACAACUUUAUGCUAACAAAUUAGAUCACCUAGAUGACAUGGACAAAUUCCUAGAAACACACAAACUACCAAAACGGACUCAAGAAAAAUAGAAAAAUCUGAAUAGACUUAUAGCAAGUAAAGAGAUUUAAUUAAUAAUAAAAAAGCUUCCCACAAAGCCCAGGCCCAGAUGGCUUCACUGGUAAAUUCUACCAUAUAUUCAAAGAAUUGACACCAAUCCUUCACAAACUCACCCUAAAAAUAGAAGAGGAGGGAAUAUGUCCCAACUCAUUCUCUGGAUGAAAACUGCCUUAGGGCAAUCACUGCCUAGCUCUCCAUUUGUAGAAAUUGAUGGCAACAGCCCAGACUGCUUGUCCAUGAGAAUGGAGUCAAACUGAUCAGGCAUCCUAGGGCAGUGGUUCUUAAUUCUGGCUACAUAUAAACUACCUGGGGAGCUUUUAAAAAUCCAAGUGCUCACACCAUAUUCAGAUCUAUUAUAUUAGAAUCUAUGGGGGGUAGGAAAAUAUAAAAGGAAAGCUAUGGGAGAUGAAUAGAGGUUGAAGUGCCAAGCUUUUACUCUCUUACUGGAUCUGAUCUCCUCCACCCUUGCUAAACUGCUGGAGCUGACAGAUUACAACUCAAGGAGACCACCUGCACUCAACUCUGCUUCAGAGAUGCUGACUGGUGGCAGCUAUAGGAGUGAUCAUCAAAGACUAUGCUGUGCCUGGGACUGACUCUAUCACAGGACUCAUCUUCUCCACUUUCCUUAAAUUCACUAAGAUUGACAUAGACCAAGGCCUGGCCUUUGGUCUUUUCUGAGUACAGCAAGAAUUAGCAGAAUGAUAAAGGUGUUAAGGAAUCUCCAGGGAAAGGUAUGGUCAGAAGCAGGGAAUCAUGACUUUAUGGUGGAAAUGGGGGAACUGGAAGCAAUCAUUGCAGCCUAACAAUGAAAAGUGGGAUAUAGCACAGAGAGAGGCUGCAGAGAAAUUUUGGGGACUUUUAUUGGCAAGUGACAAGAACCCAAUUUCAACUAGUUUAAGCAGAAAAGGGGGUUUGCUGGCAGAAUUCUCAGAGAGUUCACAGAAUUAAAGGAAGAGUUGCAGAGACUUGGAGCACUCUGGGGGUCUCAAAGAUCAGAAGUCAGGCCUCAGUGCCAUGAGGAUUCUUUCAUUCGGCCUCUCGUCUUGUUUCCUCUCUGGCCUCAACAUCUCAAGCUUCUCAUACUGACAAAGACUUUGGGAGAGUAGGGGAAGAAAGUAUUUCCCCUAAGUUUCCAUUUAGAAAAUUCAAAGGAAGAACUUCCAACAGGCACAGCCUGGUCACAAGCCCACUCUCAUAGCUUGGAAGAAUAAGGGUAGGGCUACUCUAAUUGGUAUUUUUGCAAUAAUCAUAUGGUUAUAUUGGGGGAGGCAGUUCUGUAAAAGAAAGAAAAUGUUGGGGCGCCUGGGUGGCUCAGAUGGUUAAGCGUCUGCCUUCGGCUCAGGUCAUGAUCCCAGGGUCCUGGGAUCGAGUCCCGCAUCGGGCUCUCUGCUCCUUGGGAGCCUGCUUCUCCCUCUGCCUCUCUCUCUCUCUGUCUCUCAUGAAUAAAUAAAUAAAAAUCUUAAAAAAAAAAAAAAAGAAAGAAAGAAAAUGUUGGGGCACCUGGCUGGCUCACUGAAAAGAGCAUGUAACUUUUGAUCUCAGGGUCAUGAGUUUGAGCCCCCCACUGGGGGCAGAGACUCCUUAAAUGAAUAAAUAAAAACUUAAAAAGAAAAUUUCUCCAUCUUAAAAAAAAAAAAAGAAGUGAAGUUUUUUUUUUUUUAAGAUUUAUUCAUGAGACAGAGAGAAUGAAUGGGGGGGGUGGCAGAGGGAGAGAACAUCCAAGUAGACUCCCACUGAGCAUGGAGCCCGA